rnacentral:tRNA from 1 species
AAGCCUUAAAGCCCUAGUAAAUUUUACUCCUUCAAAAUUGCAGUUUGAUGUCAUUAUUGACUAUAGGACC